UGCGCAGGCGGAAUGAUUAGUCAGUGGUGAAAUCCUACGGCUCAACUGUAGAAUUGCCAUUGAAACUGUCGCUCUUGAGUAUAGUUGAAGUGGGCGGAAUGUGUCAUGUAGCGGUGAAAUGCAUAGAGAUGACACAGAGCACCAAUCGCGAAGGCAGCUCACUAAACUAUAACUGACGCUCAGGCACGAAAGCGUGGGUAGCGAACAGGAUUAGAUACCCUGGUAGUCC
rnacentral:rRNA from 1 species